AACCAUUCUCACCUGCGGCUAGACCUGCGGAAGGAUCAUUACAGAGUGUUUAACCCCCUAUAAAAUGGUGGGUCUAACCUCCCGUCCUUUGCUGGGUCCCCCUUCUGGAGGACUUUCAAAACUUUCUGCUUCGGCGGGGUAUACCCGCCGGAACACCCUCAAAAAAUUCUUGAUCAAAAUGGUUCGGUCCGAGAAACUUUUUGUGAAAAUUAGCGAAAAACUUUCAACAACGGAUCUCAG
rnacentral:misc_RNA from 1 species